rnacentral:rRNA from 1 species
UACGUAGGUGGCAAGCGUUAUCCGGAUUUAUUGGGCGUAGAGGGAACGCAGGCGGUCUUUUAAGUCUGAUGUGAAAGCCUUCGGCUUAACCGGAGUAGUGCAUUGGAAACUGGGAGACUUGAGUGCAGAAGAGGAGGGUGGAACUCCAUGUGUAGCGGUGAAAUGCGUAGAUAUAUGGAAGAACACCAGUGGCGAAAGCGGCUCUCUGGUCUGUAACUGACGCUGAGGUUCGAAAGCGUGGGUAGCAAACAGG